UGGGGAAUAUUGGACAAUGGGCGCAAGCCUGAUCCAGCCAUACCGCGUGGGUGAAGAAGGCCUUCGGGUUGUAAAGCCCUUUUGUUGGGAAAGAAAAGCGACCGGCCAAUACCCGGUUGUUCUGACGGUACCCAAAGAAUAAGCACCGGCUAACUUCGUGCCAGUAGCCGCGGUAAUACGAAGGGUGCAAGCGUUACUCGGAAUUACUGGGCGUAAAGCGUGCGUAGGUGGUGGUUUAAGUCUGCUGUGAAAGCCCUGGGCUCAACCUGGGAAUUGCAGUGGAUACUGGAUCACUAGAGUGCGGUAGAGGGUAGUGGAAUUUCCGGUGUAGCAGUGAAAUGCGUAGAGAUCGGAAGGAACAUCUGUGGCGAAGGCGACUACCUGGGCCAGCACUGACGCUCAUGCACGAAAGCGUGGGGAGCAAACA
rnacentral:rRNA from 1 species